GCCAUAGCAAGUGCGUGGCAGUGGUGGUGUACACCUUUAAGGACCUGGAGGGCGGUACAUACAGGCAGUGACGAGGCAGUCACAUGAUUGGGUUUACAACCAAUCAGAAGCCAGAACAGAGAGACUAUAGAGACAGACACACAGGAAGGAGGGCUCCUCUUUCGGAGAGCUCUCUUGGCUGAGGAGGAUCCCUGAAUCAGGAAGGGCACUCCCUGGAACCUGCCUGCAAUGUCACUCGCCAGAGAAUUAGAUGAGGCAGGACUGCUCACCUGUCACUACGUUCACACGUUGAGAACAGGCCUUGAGAGUUGAGUGCAGUGGUGUUGCCCAUACCUGUGAUUCCAGCACUCAGGAGUUUGCAGUCAGCCUGGACUCCAGUGAAAGACCCUGAGAAGCUCGAUGUUUUGAGAGUUAACUCACUUCUCAUUUGUGGUCCCACUUG